rnacentral:rRNA from 1 species
AUACGGAGGAUGCGAGCGUUAUCCGGAUUUAUUGGGUUUAAAGGGUGCGUAGGCGGCCUUUUAAGUCAGCGGUGAAAGUCUGUGGCUCAACCAUAGAAUUGCCGUUGAAACUGGGGGGCUUGAGUAUGUUUGAGGCAGGCGGAAUGCGUGGUGUAGCGGUGAAAUGCUUAGAUAACACGCAGAACCCCGAUUGCGAAGGCGGCCUGCCAAGCCAUGACUGACGCUGAUGCACGAAAGCGUGGGGAUCAAACAGGAUUAGAUACCCUGGUAGUCCACGCAGUAAACGAUGAUCACUAGCUGUUUGCGAUACACUGUAAGCGGCACAGCGAAAGCGUUAAGUGAUCCACCUGGGGAGUACGCCGGCAACGGUGAAACUCAAAUGAAUUGACGGGG